rnacentral:tRNA from 1 species
AUAAAGAUAAGCUAAAAAUUUAAGCUUUUUGAUUCAUAAUCAAAAUAUAAAAUUGUAUUUUUCUUUAUA